CCUACGGGUGGCAGCAGUGAGGAAUAUUGGUCAAUGGGCGCGAGUCUGAACCAGCCAAUUAGCGUGAAGGAUGACUGCCCUACGGGUUGUAAGCUUCUUUUAUAAAGGAAUAAAGUGAGGCACGUGUGCCUUUUUGUAUGUCCUUUAUGCAUCAGGCUCGGCUAACUACGUGCCAGCAGCCGCGGUAAUACGGAGGAUCCGAGCGUUAUCCGGAUUUAUUGGGGUUAAAGGGAGCGUAGAUGGAUUGUUAAGUCAGUUGUGAAAGUUUGAGGCUCAACCGUAAAAUUGCAGUUGAUACUGGAAGUCUAGAGUACAGUUGAGGUGAGUGGAAUUCGUGGUGUAGCGGUGAAAUGCUUAGAGAUCACGAAGAACUCCGAUUGCGAAGGCAGCUCACUAAACUGCCACUGACACUGAUGCUCGAAAGUGUGGGGAUCAAACAGGAUUAGAUACCCCUGUAGUC
rnacentral:rRNA from 1 species